GCUUUUCCAUGCAAUCAGCAUUAGGGUUUAAACCCUAAACUGAACUUUUCCUUUUAGUCAGCAUUAGGGAUUUAAACCCUAAACUGAACUUUUUCUUUCAGUCAGCAUUAGGGUUAUAAACCCUAAACUGAGCUUUUCCAUGCAAUCAGCAUUAGGGUUUUAAACCCUAAACUGAACUUUUCCUUUUAGUCAGCAUUAGGGUUUUAAACCCUAAACUGAACUUUUUCCUUUCAGCUAGCAUUAGGGUUUUAAACCCUAUACUGAGCUUUUCCAUGCAAUCAGCAUUAGGGUUUUAAACCCUAAACUGAACUUUUUCCUUUCAGCCAGCAUUAGGGUUUUAAACCCUAAACUGAGCUUUUCCAUGCAAUCAACAUUAGAGUUUUAAACCCUAAACUGAACUUUUCCUUUUAGUCAGCAUUAGGGUUUUAAACCCUAAACUGAACUUUUCCUUUUAGUCAGCAUUAGGGUUUUAAACCCUAAACUGAACUUUUUCCUUUCAGCUAGCAUUAGGGUUUUAGACCCUAAACUGAGCUUUUCCAUGCAAUCAGCAUUAGGGUUUUAAACCCUAAACUGAAUUUUCCUUUUAGUCAGCAUUAGGGUUUUAAACCCUAAACUGAACUUUUCCUUUCAGCCAGCAUUAUGGUUUUAAAACCCUAAACUGAGCUUUUCCAUGUAAUCAGCAUUAGGGUUUUAAACCCUAAACUGAAUUUUCCUUUUAGUUAGCAUUAGGGUUUUAAACCCUAAACUGAACUUUUCCUUCCAGUUAGCAUUAUGGUUUUAAACACUAAACUGAACUUUUUCUUUCAGUCAGCAUUAGGGUUUUAAACCCUAAACUGAACUUUUUCUUUCAGUCAGCAUUAGGGUUUUAAACCCUAAACUGAAUUUUCCUUUAUUCAGCAUUAGGGUUUAAAACCCUAAACUGAACUUUUUCCAUUCAGCCAGUAUUAGUGUUUUAAACCCUAAACU
rnacentral:lncRNA from 1 species